rnacentral:rRNA from 1 species
AGUGAACGCUGGCGGCAGGCCUAACACAUGCAAGUCGAGCGGCAGCGGGUUCCCGCGAGGGGAUGCCGGCGAGCGGCGGACGGGUGAGGAACACAUCGGAAUCUGCCUGGUUGUGGGGGAUAACGUAGGGAAACUUACGCUAAUACCGCAUGCGACCCUGAGUCGACGGACUGGGGGUGAAAGUGAGGGACCUUCGGGCCGUCACGCGACCAGAUGAGCCGAUGUCGGAUUAGCUAGUUGGCGGGGUAACGGCCCGCCAAGGCGACGAUCCGUAGCUGGUCUGAGAGGAUGAUCAGCCACACUGGGACUGAGACACGGCCCAGACUCCUACGGGAGGCAGCAGUGGGGAAUCUUGGACAAUGGGCGCAAGCCUGAUCCAG